rnacentral:rRNA from 1 species
CCGCGUGAGUGAUGAAGGCUUUCGGGUCGUAAAACUCUGUUGUUAGGGAAGAACAAGUGCUAGUUGAUUAUUCUGGCACCUUGACGGUCCCUAACCAGAAAGCCACGGCUAACUACGUGCCAGCAGCCGCGGUAAUACGUAGGUGGCAAGCGUUAUCCGGAAUUAUUGGGCGUAAAGCGGCCGCAGGUGGUUUCUUAAGUCUGAUGUGAAAGCCCACGGUUCACCCGUGGAUGGUCAUUGGAAACUGGGAGACUUGAGUGCAGAAAAGGAAAGUGAAAUUCCAUGUGUAGCGGUGAAAUGCGUAAAGAUAUGGAGGAACACCAGUGGCGAAGGCGACUUUCUGGUCUGUAACUGACACUGAGGCGCGAAAGCGUGGGGAGCAAACAGGAUUAGAUACCCUGGUAGUCCACGCCGUAAACGAUGAGUGCUAAGUGUUAGAGGGUUUCCGCCCUUUAGUGCUGAAGUUAACGCAUUAAGCACUCCGCCUGGGGAGUACGGCCGCAAGAUUAAAACUCAAAGGAAUUGACGG